rnacentral:rRNA from 1 species
UACGGAGGAUGCAAGCGUUAUCCGGAUUUAUUGGGUUUAAAGGGUGCGCAGGCGGACCGGUAAGUCAUGGGUGAAAAUUCGCGGCUCAACUGCGGACGUGCCUAUGAUACUGCCGGACUAGGGUUUAAGUGGCGUAGCCGGAAUGUGACGUGUAGCGGUGAAAUGCUUAGAUAUGUCACAGAACGCCGAUCGUGAAGACAGGCUGCGAACUUAAUACAGACGCUCAGGCACGAAAGCGUGGGUAUCAAAC